CGGGGGAUAGUUUAGUUGGAAAAACGCUGGUGCUACAAACCAGAGAGGUAGGUUCGAGCCCUUACUUCCCCAC
rnacentral:tRNA from 1 species